CGGACCGUGCACGCCCAGGUGUCUUCCUCCUCGACGAGCGCCUGGUCGCCGAAGUAGGCCCCGUCGGCGAGGACUCCGAGGACCGCCUCGUCGUCGUACGCCCCGUCGGCGACCUUCUCCACCCUGCCGUGCGCCAGCAGAUAGACCGUGUCCGCGGCAUCACCGGCGGCCGCGAUCACGUCUCCCGCCGCGUACUCCCGCUGCUCGCACCGCUGGGCCAGCUCGGCCAGCACCCCCUCGUCGCCGUACGUCCUGAGCGCCGGCAGCUCGUUCAGCUCGCCGGGAAUGACCUCGACGCGCUCCCCGGUCUGUACGAAAGUCACCCGCCCGUCGCCCACCGCGUAACUGAGCCGCCGGUUCACCCGGUACGUACCGCCCUGGACCUGGACCCACGGCAGCAUCCGCAGCAGCCACCGCGAGGUGAUCUCCUGCAUCUGCGGUGCGGACUUGGUGGUGGUCGCCAAGUUCCGCGCUGCGGCCGUACCGAGACUCUGCUGCGGCUGCGCCUG
rnacentral:antisense_RNA from 1 species